ensembl:lncRNA
UCACUCUGCUUUGCCCUCCUCAGUCCAGCUGCUGUGCUUUUCUCCGCGACUUCGAGGUCCCUCCGGCUCGGCUGAUCUACAGUUAUGUCAAGAGUUUCUUGCCCUUUUUGGAGGUUUAAGUUCUUCUGCCAGCAUUCGCAGAUGUUCUGGCUCCCAUGAGCCCUCCCCAUGGCCCCAGCCUUAUGAUUGGAAUAGCAACCCUAACUAGAGGAAGAAGUGGAGCAACACCUUUUGAUGACCAGAGGGAGGAAGGAAGCCUUGCUGCAAGCUGGUCAGUGUCCUGAUGCUUAGUAAUGGAACCUUGACUUGAUGUCCAGCCUUCUUGAGAACGCAAUCCUUAUGCCAAGAACUCGACUACCUACUGAGGGAAUGAGACUGGAUUCUGCUCUUAUGAGCCUCCGUUCCCCUUGAAUCCCCAUCACCAAUCCUGAGCCCCUUAGGGUGCAGGAGUCCUGCUGCCAUGGGGCAAUGUGCCUGUGCAGAGUGGUUGCCUGGCUUCCAGAAUUAUUGUUUCACCUCUUCCCUCGCUGUAUUCUGCCUGCUGGAUCUCCUCUCUCUACAGCUGAGAUCACAUCAUACUCUGCCCAAGCAUCAAUGGCUUUAGCAAUGAACAUCUGGCAGAAAAAGAGACCGACUGUUCUAAAGCAGGCACUCGAGGCUAUCAAGUCCAGAGUUCACCCUGACCUGCACUUGAACAAAUUUCUUAGAGGCAGGCAACGAAUCUAUCUCCACACUGAAAACUCUCAUAGGACGGAUAGUGAAUUCAUCUCUCUAUUACCAUCAAAAGCAUUGUCACCUGUCUGUGUAGCAGUGCUUUGCUGGCUAAAGCACAUGAAACAUAAUUGAAUCUUGACAACACGACUGUAAUCAAAGGAUACCCACAAGUGUACCUAAUCACUGCUGUUGAGCUUCCAGAAGACCCCAUUCAAGAGACACUGAUGGAAAAGGACACUGGGUUCCACUGCAUUUCUAUCAACAUUAAGCAAGUGCAAAUUAGAUGUCUUCUGUGUCAUUCUCUUGAGCUGCUUGGUUCCAAUUGUGUUAAAAGUGAUCAUUGAUCACCUGGAGAACCAUGGUAGAUUGAUAAAUUAGUUUCAUCUUGAUGUUAUUUUGUAUAUAAACAGACUAAUUUGUAAAAAACCUUAGGCAUCAUAGACUGUGUGUAAUGUAGUAGACUAGCUCAAUUACUUUUAAAUGACCAGUGAGAAACCCAAACCAAUAUGAAACAUAGUGGGAAAAUAAGAACUACAAUGACAGCAAUUAUGAAGUUAUCCCAAGCCUAUUUAACAAAUAAGACUAGAUUAAGGGAAGAUGGUGA